CGCACAUUGCGCCCGCCAGCAUUCUGGCGGGCAUGCCUGUCCGAGCGUCAUUUCAACCCUCAAGCCCCCCCUUUCGGGGGCUUGGUGUUGGGGAUCGGCCCUAACCGGCUGCCCCCUAAAUCCAGUGGCGGUCUCGCCGCAGCUUCCUCUGCGUAGUAGUAACAUCUCGCACUGGGACGCGGCGCGGCCACGCCGUAAAGCGGGCGCAAGCCCAAUUUUCUCAAGGUUGACCUCGGAUCAGGUAGGAAUACCCGCUGAACUUAA
rnacentral:misc_RNA from 1 species